rnacentral:rRNA from 1 species
GUUUGACUGGGGCGGUCUCCUCCCAAAGCGUAACGGAGGAGCACGAAGGUUAGCUAAUCCUGGUCGGACAUCAGGAGGUUAGUGCAAUGGCAUAAGCUAGCUUGACUGCGAGCGUGACGGCGCGAGCAGGUGCGAAAGCAGGUCAUAGUGAUCCGGUGGUUCUGAAUGGAAGGGCCAUCGCUCAACGGAUAAAAGGUACUCCGGGGAUAACAGGCUGAUACCGCCCAAGAGUUCAUAUCGACGGCGGUGUUUGGCACCUCGAUGUCGGCUCAUCACAUCCUGGGGCUGAAGUAGGUCCCAAGGGUAUGGCUGUUCGCCAUUUAAAGUGGUACGCGAGCUGGGUUUAGAACGUCGUGAGACAGUUCGGUCCCUAUCUGCCGUGGGCGCUGGAGAAUUGAGGGGGGCUGCUCCUAGUACGAGAGGACCGGAGUGGACGCAUCACUGGUGUUCGGGUUGUCAUGCCAAUGGCACUGCCCGGUAGCUAAAUGCGGAAGAGAUAAGUGCUGAAAGCAUCUAAGCACGAAACUUGCCCCGAGAUGAGUUCUCCCUGAGACUUUAAGUCUCCUGAAGGAACGUUGAAGACGACGACGUUGAUAGGCCGGGUGUGUAAGCGCAGCGAUGCGUUGAGCUAACCGGUACUAAUGAACCGUGAGGCUUAACCUU